rnacentral:rRNA from 1 species
CGACGUGGGUAACCUGCCUCAUACAGGGGGAUAGCAGCUGGAAACGGCUGAUAAAACCGCAUAAGCGCACAGCAUCGCAUGAUGCAGUGUGAAAAACUCCGGUGGUAUGAGAUGGACCCGCGUCUGAUUAGCUGGUUGGUGAGGUAACGGCCCACCAAGGCGACGAUCAGUAGCCGGCCUGAGAGGGUGACCGGCCACAUUGGGACUGAGACACGGCCCAA